AAUCAACGCUGGCGGCGUGCCUCAGACAUGCAAGUCGAACGCGAAAGUUCCCUUCGGGGAGCGAGUAGAGUGGCGCACGGGUGAGUAACACGUAGGUAAUCUACCUCAGGGUGGGGAAUAACAGCCGGAAACGGCUGCUAAUACCGCAUAAUGCAGCGGCACCACAUGGUGACAGUUGUUAAAGCGGGGGAGUCGUAAGACCUCGCGCCUGGAGAUGAGCCUGCGGCGGAUUAGCUAGUUGGCAGGGUAACGGCCUACCAAGGCAACGAUCCGUAGCCGGCCUGAGAGGGCGGACGGCCACACUGGCACUGACAUACGGGCCAGACUCCUACGGGAGGCAGCAGUCGGGAA
rnacentral:rRNA from 1 species